rnacentral:lncRNA from 1 species
GCGGAAGAAACUGCAGGCGUUGGCAAGAUGGUCUGUGCCAAAUUAAUAGGUUUCCUUAGUGUUUCUUGGUUGCUUUAGUUUAUUAGUUGCUCCUAUACUGUGAUGUAACUAGUAGCAAUGAUAGAAUUUAGUAUAGAAGAUUGAUGUAAAUGAGUAGGAGUAGUCAAAGCUCUUAGUAAAGCUUCAACUUGUACUGAGAUGUAACUAGUGGCAACGAUAGAAUUUAGUAUAGAAGAUUGAUGUAAAUGAGUAGGAGUAGUCAAAGCUCUUACUAAAGCUUCAACUUGUAAUAUUUUUCAUAUUAAUGGAUAUAAUGGUUACCCAAAAAAAAUAACCUAACACGAGGAAUUUUUGAACCAACAUUCGUACAAAAAUAGGAGUAGAAAACAUAGGAUAAACCACAAAGAGAAAAAAAGGGCACGAUACAGAGAAGCGCUAGUCAUAAAUUUAGUAAGUAAGAGAAACGUGC